GAUGAACGCUGGCGGUAUGCUUAACACAUGCAAGUCGAACGGACUCUUCGGAUUUAGUGGCGGACGGGUGAGUAACGCGUGAGAAUCUGGCUUUGGGUUCGGGACAACCACUGGAAACGGUUGCUAAUACCGGAUGUGCCCAGAGGUCAAAGGGAAAUUGGCUGCAGAUGAGGUCGCGUCUGAUUAGCUAGUUGGUGAGGGUAAGGGGCACCAAGGCAGCGAUCAGUAGCCGGUCUGCGGGGAUGACCAGCCACACCGGGGCUGCUACCCCGCCCACCCUACUACGGGAGGCGGCAGUGGGGAAGUAUCCUGAAUGAGCGACGGCCUGACGGAGCAGUACCGCCUGGGGGAAGAAGGAUCUUGUGUUGUAAACCUCUUCUCUUAGCGAGGAAGAUAAUGACGGUACCGGAAGAAUCAGCACCGGCUAACUCCGUG
rnacentral:rRNA from 1 species